AUUGAACGCUGGCGGCAUGCUUUACACAUGCAAGUCGAACGGUAACAGGCCGCAAGGUGCUGACGAGUGGCGAACGGGUGAGUAAUGCAUCGGAACGUGCCCAGUCGUGGGGGAGAACGCAGCGAAAGCUGCGCUAAUACCGCAUACGAUCUGCGGAUGAAAGCGGGGGACCGUAAGGCCUCGCGCGAUUGGAGCGGGCGAUGUCAGAUGUGGUAGUUGGUGGGGUAAAGGCUCACCAAGCCGACGAUCUGUAGCUGGUCUGGGAGGACGACCAGCCACACUGGGACUGAGACACGGCCCAGACUCCUACGGUAGGCAGCAGUGGGGAAUUUUGGACAAUGGGGGCAACCCUGAUCCAGCAAUGCCGCGUGCAGGAAGAAGGCCUUCGGGUUGUAAACUGCUUUUGUACGGAACGAAACGGCUCUGGUUAAUACCCGGGGCUAAUGACGGUACCGUAAGAAUAAGCACCGGCUAACUACGUGCCAGCCGCCGCGGUAAUAC
rnacentral:rRNA from 1 species